rnacentral:rRNA from 1 species
UACGGAGGGGGCUAGCGUUGUUCGGAAUUACUGGGCGUAAAGCGCACGUAGGCGGCUUUGUAAGUUAGAGGUGAAAGCCCAGGGCUUAACCCUGGAAUUGCCUUUAAGACUGCAUCGCUUGAAUUGUGGAGAGGUGAGUGGAAUUCCGAGUGUAGAGGUGAAAUUCGUAGAUAUUCGGAAGAACACCAGUGGCGAAGGCGACUCACUGGACACAUAUUGACGCUGGGGUGCGAAAGCGUGGGGAGCAAACAGG